rnacentral:ribozyme from 1 species
GAUUGAGGAAAGUGGCUACCUUCACGUGGUCUCCCCUGUGAGUAGUGUACCACAUCUACUAGUACAUGAAACUAAAAGUCAC